rnacentral:rRNA from 1 species
AUGGCUCAGGACGAACGCUGGCGGCGUGCUUAACACAUGCAAGUCGAGCGGUAAGGCCUUUCGGGGUACACGAGCGGCGAACGGGUGAGUAACACGUGGGUGAUCUGCCCUGCACUUCGGGAUAAGCCUGGGAAACUGGGUCUAAUACCGGAUAUGACCUCCUAUCGCAUGGUGGGUGGUGGAAAGAUUUAUCGGUGCAGGAUGGGCCCGCGGCCUAUCAGCUUGUUGGUGGGGUAAUGGCCUACCAAGGCGACGACGGGUAGCCGACCUGAGAGGGUGACCGGCCACACUGGGACUGAGACACGGCCCAGACUCCUACGGGAGGCAGCAGUGGGGAAUAUUGCACAAUGGGCGAAAGCCUGAUGCAGCGACGCCGCGUGAGGGAUGACGGCCUUCGGGUUGUAAACCUCUUUCAGCAGGGACGAAGCGCAAGUGACGGUACCUGCAGAAGAAGCACCGGCUAACUACGUGCCAGCAGCCGCGGUAAUACGUAGGGUGCAAGCGUUGUCCGGAAUUACUGGGCGUAAAGAGUUCGUAGGCGGUUUGUCGCGUCGUUUGUGAAAACCAGCAGCUCAACUGCUGGCUUGCAGGCGAUACGGGCAGACUUGAGUACUGCAGGGGAGACUGGAAUUCCUGGUGUAGCGGUGAAAUGCGCAGAUAUCAGGAGGAACACCGGUGGCGAAGGCGGGUCUCUGGGCAGUAACUGACGCUGAGGAACGAAAGCGUGGGUAGCGAACAGGAUUAGAUACCCUGGUAGUCCACGCCGUAAACGGUGGGCGCUAGGUGUGGGUUCCUUCCACGGAAUCCGUGCCGUAGCUAACGCAU